GACGAACGCUGGCGGCGUGCUUAACACAUGCAAGUCGAACGGUAAGGCCCCUUCGGGGGUACACGAGUGGCGAACGGGUGAGUAACACGUGAGCAACCUGCCCUUGACUCUGGAAUAACAGUUGGAAACAGCUGCUAAUACUGGAUAUUCAUCGUCUCCUUCCUGGGGGGUGGUGGAAAGCUCCGGCGGUCAGGGAUGGGCUCGCGGCCUAUCAGCUUGUUGGUGAGGUAAUGGCUCACCAAGGCUUCGACGGGUAGCCGGCCUGAGAGGGCGACCGGCCACACUGGGACUGAGAUACGGCCCAGACUCCCACGGGAGGCAGCAGUGGGGAAUAUUGCACAAUGGGCGCAAGCCUGAUGCAGCAACGCCGCGUGCGGGAUGACGGCCUUCGGGUUGUAAACCGCUUUCAGUAGGGACGAAGGGUGACUGACGGUACCUACAGAAGAAGGACCGGCUAACUACGUG
rnacentral:rRNA from 1 species